rnacentral:misc_RNA from 1 species
CUUGUGGUGUUAGGCUUGGGAUUCCCCAACCAAGCGGAAUAUUUAAUAAAGAAAUAGGCUUAAGUUAGUUUAUGGUUAUUAUAUAAAUUAUAAUUAGAAAUAUUCGACGUUUCUCAAAUUCUGUAGCUUUUUUAAAUUCAAUAUUUCGAACUGUACAAAAAUUAUAGUAUCGUGAAACUAUGGCAUAGUUUUAAUGAAGAACUUUGGGCUAACGUAUAAUUUCGAAGUUGGUGUCACUGUGUUAAUAAUGCUUUAUCCAUUACUCAGUUAGGCCUAAGCGUUAUUUUAGUGAAAGUUGGUCCCAGUUUUCAAUUGCAAAUUACAUAGAUAAUUUCUGAACUUUCACUGUGUUGAGUAUAUUCCGAUAUUACAUUAAAACAGUAUUACGGAGUUGUAAGUUAUUGCGUGGCUAGUUGAAAAGUUUUUUUCCUCUUUUUUUUGAAAAUUUCAUCGAUUCUGGAAUUCGAUAAUUACAAUUUACAUGAUAUAUUAUUAUUAGGCUUUAGUCUUUACGUUAGGCUUAACAAAAUAGCGUUAAUAAAGCUAUUUUGUACUAGUGUGGCCUGAGCAUUUUUUCCUCGAAUUGUUCAUGUUAUAACGACGACAGCUAAAAAUAAAGGCCAAGAAGGAAUGGCAAGCUCAUCUGUUAGUUCGUGCAUAGGGAAGAGUCUGUUUUCACCAGAUUUACACCAGCAGAAGCAACAGAAUGACUCCAUGACAAAAAUGCUUGGUGUUACAUCCCCUAUAAAUACUGCAAGUCCCAAACCAAUUGACAUUCAACGAACAAAAGAACUUGAAGAAUGCUUAAAACAAUAUGGACUUUAUGAGACAGAUGAAGAACUAACCCACAGAAUGGAAGUGCUAGGGAAAAUCAACAAGCUAGUAAAAGACUGGAUUAAAGAAGUGAGCAUAAGAAAGAAUAUGCCAUCAAAUGUAGCAGAAAAUGUUGGUGGAAAAAUAUUCACAUUUGGAUCAUAUCGUCUUGGUGUUCAUACAAAAGGUGCUGACAUAGAUACCUUGUGUGUUGCACCUCGACAUGUUGACAGGUCAGAUUUCUUCACGUCAUUUGUUGAAUUACUCAAAGAGCAACCUGAAGUGAAGGACCUUAGGGCAGUUGAAGAAGCUUACGUUCCUGUAAUUAAAAUGACAUUUGAUGGAAUUGAGUUGGACAUGCUGUUCGCAAGAUUGGCACUGAAGGAUAUUCCAGAAGAUCAAAAUCUACGAGAUGUAAAUCUUUUAAAGAAUUUGGAUCCUCGAUGUGUCAGAAGUCUUAAUGGUUGCCGAGUAACUGAUGAGAUUCUUAGCCUUGUUCCAAGUAUUGAAGGUUUUAGACUUGCCUUAAGAGCUAUAAAGCUAUGGGCCAAACGUCAUGGUGUAUACUCCAACGUUUUAGGGUACCUAGGUGGAGUAUCUUGGGCCAUGCUUGUUGCCAGGACAUGUCAGCUUUACCCAAAUGCAGCAGCUGCUACACUGGUUAACAAGUUCUUUUUGGUGUUUUCUCAGUGGCCUUGGCCAAAACCAGUGUUAUUAAAGCAACCUGAAGAAAAUAAAUUGAGUUUUGUAGUUUGGGACCCUAGGAUUAAUGUAGCUGAUCGUUUCCACUUAAUGCCCAUCAUCACCCCAGCAUAUCCACAGCAGAAUUCUACUUUUAAUGUUUCCAUGUCAACAAGGGCAGUGAUGCAGGAAGAGUUCAAGCAAGGUAUGGCAUUGACAGAUGACAUUAUUCUUGGCAAAGCAGACUGGUCUAAGCUAUUUGAACCAUCAAAUUUUUUUGCCAAGUACAAACAUUUUAUUGUUCUUCAAGCUGCAGCAUCAUCUAAAGAUCAUCAUCUAGAAUGGCAUGGUUUAGUGGAAUCUAAAAUUCGUAUUCUAAUUAGCAACCUGGAAAGACAUCCAUCUAUAGCACUAGCACACAUAAAUCCUGAAUCUCAUUCUGCUCCAGAACCUGAGCCAGACACAUUUCAAUCAAUGUGGUUUAUUGGACUUCAGUUUGCUAAAACAGAAAAUCUUAAUGUGGAUCUCACUUUUGACAUUCAGUCAUUUACUGACACAGUCAUGCGUCAAGCCAUGCAGAUAAACCUGUACAAGCCAGGUAUGAAGAUUGAAGCAAAACACGAGGGAAUUGAACAAGUAUUUGCCUCCAAGUGUUACUGCAAAGCUGAAGAAAAAGGACAAAAUGUCCUCCACGACAGCACAGAACAGUCUCAACAGCACACCAAUACCAGAGUCUCGUGGAGAUGCUAAGAAAACACUGCACCAAAGUCGAUCAGAUUCAUCUCUUACUCAAGCAGUAGAUGGCAAGCCAACCAUUGGAAAACACAACAGAUUAAGCUUAGAUGUAGUUACACCUGAUUCUAUCAAUUCUUCUUUAUCUUUGGGACACAAGAGACGUCGAGAACCUUCAGAACUAGAUGCUGAGAUAAAAAGGUUUCAUUCUGCAAAUUCGGACUCUACUACCAGUCUAGAUGUUGGAAACA